rnacentral:misc_RNA from 1 species
CAGCGACGACAUCGCAUCCGCGCCUCUUCAGUUGUUGGUUCAAGCGCUCGUUGGCCUUGGCCGACGUCGGUUUCCUGUGUUGAAUACCUAUCGCGAAGGCAUUUUGUUGGCUACGUCGUCCCUUUUCCGCCUCGCACUGCUGCGCCCGUCGGCGUCGUGGUGCGGGGUGGACCUCAAAGCGUGCGCCGUGUUCCGUUUCCCGUUCACUUCAAUACGGGUGCUCGGGUUGUCGGCCCACGGCGCACUGCUCGGUCCCUCGGAUGCGGAACAUCGAGUGGGUACGAGGCCGUCGGCCUCCAUCUGCCCCGAAAAAAGCGUUCUACGCUUCGUGCGAACGACGGCCGCUCCGAUUUUGGUCGGGUCCUCGUGGCUUGRGCCAUGUCGGGUC